rnacentral:rRNA from 1 species
AGCGAACGCUGGCGGCAGGCCUAACACAUGCAGGUCGAACGAACUCUUCGGAGUUAGUGGCGGACGGGUGAGUAACACGUGGGAACGUGCCUUUUGGUUCGGAAUAACUCAGGGAAACUUGUGCUAAUACCGAAUGUGCCCUUCGGGGGAAAGAUUUAUCGCCAUUAGAGCGGCCCGCGUCUGAUUAGCUAGUUGGUGAGGUAACGGCUCACCAAGGCGACGAUCAGUAGCUGGUCUGAGAGGAUGACCAACCACACUGGGACUGAGACACGGUCUAGACUCCUACGCGAGGCAGCAGUGGGGAAUCUUGCGCAAUGGGCGAAAGCCUGACGCAGCCAUGCCGCGUGAAUGAUGAAGGUCUUAGGAUUGUAAAAUUCUUUCACCGGUGACGAUAAUGACGGUACCCGGAGAAGAAGCCCCGGCUAACUUCGUG